rnacentral:rRNA from 1 species
CCUACGGGUGGCAGCAGUGGGGAAUAUUGGACAAUGGGCGAAAGCCUGACGCAGCAACGCCGCGUGAGGGAAGAAGUCUUUCGGUUUGUAAACUUCUUUUCUCAGGGACGAAACAAGUGACAGUACCUUAAGAAUAAGCCACUGCUAACUACGUGACAGCAGCCGCGGUAAUACGUAGGUGGCAAGCGUUCUCCGGAUUUACUGGGUGUAAAGGCGGUGUAGGCGGGAAAGCAAGUCAGAUGUGAAAACCAUGGGCUCAACCCGGGGCCUGCAUUGGAAACUGUUUGUCUGGAGUGCUGGAGAGGCAGACGGAAUUCCUAGUGUAGCGGUGAAAUGCGUAGAUAUUAGGAGGAACACCAGUGGCGAAGGCGGUCUGCUGGACAGUAACUGACGUUGAGGCGCGAAAGCGUGGGGAGCAAACAGGAUUAGAUACCCUGGUAGUC